GAUUUCGGUUGAAAAAGUCAUCAACAACAAAGUUGUAUAACUCAUCAAGAUCUAUAACUUCUAUUUUGGUCAUUUUUUCAUCCGACAAAGCGAUCAUAACAUUUUCACAAAAUUUACAUAUCUCUCUCUAUAGUUUAUAAAACUAUAUAAGAGAUGUACAUUUUGUGAACAAUGUUACAAAUAACUUUGUUGUAUGAAGAAAUGACCAAAAUAAAAGUUAUAGAUAUUGAUGAGUUAUACCACUUUGUUAUUGAUGACUUUUUCAGUUGAAAUC
rnacentral:pre_miRNA from 1 species